GCGGGAGUGGCGGAAUGGCAGACGCAGCAGGUUUAGGUCCUGCCGCCCACUGGGCGUGGGGGUUCAAGUCCCCCCUCCCGCA
rnacentral:tRNA from 1 species